AUUGAACGCUGGCGGCAUGCCUUACACAUGCAAGUCGAACGGUAACAGGUCUUCGGAUGCUGACGAGUGGCGAACGGGUGAGUAAUACAUCGGAACGUGCCUAGUAGUGGGGGAUAACUACUCGAAAGAGUGGCUAAUACCGCAUGAGAUCUACGGAUGAAAGCAGGGGAUCGCAAGACCUUGUGCUACUAGAGCGGCCGAUGGCAGAUUAGGUAGUUGGUGGGAUAAAAGCUUACCAAGCCGACGAUCUGUAGCUGGUCUGGGAGGACGAUCAGCCACACUGGGACUGAGACACGGCCCAGACUCCUACGGGAGGCAGCAGUGGGGAAUUUUGGACAAUGGGCGCAAGCCUGAUCCAGCAAUGCCGCGUGCAGGACGAAGGCCUUCGGGUUGUAAACUGCUUUUGUACGGAACGAAAAGCCCUGGGUUAAUACCCUGGGGUCAUGACGGUACCGUAAGAAUAAGCACCGGCUAACUACGUGCCAGCCGCCGCAGUAAGAC
rnacentral:rRNA from 1 species